CGCGUCUAAAGCUUUUUGAUCCAAAACACGAGCAUUGCCACAUUUCAAUUCUUCUUCUACGCGUCAGAAGCCUCCUGCCUCAUUACAAAGAAACAUCGCCACGUUACAGUUUAGGCUCAACACGUUGAGUUCAUGCCCAAAUCCUUCAGCCUCUACACCCAUUUCUAUAUUUUAUAUCUUCUUCUUUAUUUUAUUUUUUUCUCUUCUUUCCUUUCUUUUUCUUUUCUCUUUUAUUCUUUUGUUCUAUUCUUCUACCCAUACGAGGAACCAGAGAAACUAGUGUUGAGUGAGAGACCAGAAGGAAUGGGGAGAGACCCAGCCGGUGGGCUAGCCACCGGACUGGGCGGACGACGCCGCCGGGCCCAAAAGCCACGGCCCUGAACCGGCAACGCCACCGGAGAGCACUUUUCCGGCGACUUCUGGGUCCCCAAAGAAGAAGAAAAUCUGUCCCCUGAGGGUCCGAGUCUGAUGACGCUGAGUUGUCAGAUUGCACAAUAAAGGCGCUGAAUUACUUGGAGCAGGCGGAUCAGCGCAAAAUUGGCAAGAAAUCGUAAUCUGGUCUAAUUGGGGCAAUUUCCGAGUGCGCCGCAGUAAUUUGGCCAUAACUUUGGCUACGUGUAUCCGUUUCGUGCAUAUGACCCCAAUUCGGAAAGCUCUCUUCGGCGCGCACAUCGUGGCCACCGAGCUUUGCUCGGUGCGCCUCGUUUCGAGCCCCAAAAUCCGCUGUUUUCCUUGUCAAAAUCCUAAUUUUAGAUAUUUUUUGCUAUUUAUGGUAACUUUUCCUUUAUUGUUUAGGAGGUGAUUCUGAGCCCGAUUUGGGCCAGAUUUUCGACAGAAUAAUUAUUUUAUUAUGUAUUUCGUUUUAUUAUGGUUUUCGGGAUUUUGCUAAUUUUGGCAAAAAUUCUCCUAAACCUAAUUUUCAGCUAUUUAAGCCCGGCUUGUGGGCGUUUUUUCGACAGUUCAUUGUUAUUGAUUAAUUAUCAGAAUUCAGAGUUUUUCUCUCUGUUUUGGGGUGA